CUUGCAGAGCCAGAUAUAUCAUGAUGAAGAUGUACUCGAAGACGACAUGGCGAAUCGGGAUUGGAAUACGCGAAAGAAGCAAUGAAUGCAUGAGCGUGACAACCACAAUCAUAAGAUGCUUCCAUACGGAGUACCAGGACUCUGGAAAUGUAUUUCCGUUUUGAUUCAGAAGGGAAAAGAAGAUGACGCACACUCCCACAGAUGCAACGAGGUGGACACUGUGAAGAACCCAUACAAUCGAAACCAGGAGGGGCGUGCGAGGUCGUUCCGAACACUCCGUGUCUGAUUCUUGUUUGGACGCAUCUGGUUUUGUUUCGGCAUCCUGCUUCGCACUCGCAUUUUUUUUUCGAAAACAGGUCCAUGCCAAACUCUCUGGAUAUGAAGGAUUUGGUGCCAAGAGGAUUCCCUCCACACAGUAGACUUCAUGUGACAUGAGCUCGUGAUAUCCAGGAAGCAGUACACAAUCUACAAGCUUGCGUCUUAUGGUGGAAUGAGGCGGAAGCGCGGGCGCAAUGUGGCGGUGGUGGAUACAGAAACAUCCCCAAGGGCCUUUGCUUGGGUUGUAGUGCCGAUGCGGAUACUUGUGUCUUGACUGCUGGCUUUCUGUAGACGCCCGCGUUGAAAUUCGACUUUUUGUGGUCCGUUUUUGCGACUGUCCAGUCACCUUUGCAGGCAUCUCGAGCGAGGCGUUGACACUUGGCAGCUCAUUCUCGUUCACCUCAUCGGCCUGGUCAAGGUAGCAUUGCGCGGAAUGAUCAUCCGGUAUUCUUUCUGUUUCUACGUCGCGAGAAAUAAGUGGCGUUCUGAACGACCAGGCAGCCCUUACUGACAAGAAACAGAGAAGGCAAAAAUAGAUUGUCGUCAGGUACGAAUUCCAGUUGGUGAAAUACAGAAGCAUAGGCCAGCCCAGAUCCUUCUUUACGUCACGGGACGCAAGGACCUCGAGUACCAACAAAACAACACACAGAAAAAGUCGGAUGACGACCAGCGAAGCUACAUCAAUUAAGUUGGGGAAGUAUGAGGAAACAAAAACCUGCCGCCAGUCGCGGUGAUGUAAAUCACACGACCAAAAGCGCUUGGUGAGGCGGAUCUCGUAGCGCAGGCCGGAGUCUGUCGCAGGCAUGCAAAUCUCGGCAGCGGCCUCCAGUAUUUGAGGUUGUGCCCCGAGCUCGUGUUCGCGUUCCUCCAUCGUCUAAAAAAGGUCGGUUCGUAUGAGAAAAAACAACUCGGACAACGUGUUUCACGAUAGAAUGUUUCGUUUGGUAGGGAAGGCUUGUGAACGUUGUGGGUUCUCGCUAGUCGCCCAACACAGAAACCAGAAACCUGUAUUCACUCGACAAGAACUGGAUGUUGUGGGCUUUCUUUCCUGUUCAGCAGAUUCUCAUUCAAGUCACCUGCUGUCCAACCGACGUCUGUCUAUGUAGACCGCAGGCGGAUCGGUUAGAACAGUCUGAUUAGAUCAAUCUGAGUGUUGCCUCAGGUGUUUUUCCAAUUGGAGUCUAACGAACAGAACCGAAAAAACCAAGAGACAGGGAACGAUUUUUUCCAGAUAACAGUUUUCCGUAUUGCUCUGCUUGCCAAGCAAAUGACAAAAGAUGACGGACAAAGAAAGAAAAAAUGUUGAGGCAGAUGGUGUAACACAUUCGGAAGACAACGAUCGAUCCAAGACAAAGGCAGGAAUGUUCAAAGCAUUUUCCUCCAGACUACGUUUGGCUCGCGGUCGGUAGAGGCAAGCGUAUUUACCAAAGAAUGAUAUAUAUAAUGCGGAAGACCACACAUGUCAGCCAAGCAAAUCCGGACCAAAAAGGUUAAGCUGUCGUUGCCUGGUGUCUUGCAUCGUUGGUCAAAAAUGCAGCCAAACACACAUCGUUACUAGAACGGGAUGUAUAUGUUGCACUGCCAAUGCAGAAUGUUCUCAAGACGCUCCCAGGCAUCAGCAGCUAGAGAGACCGGAGAACGCUGAAACUGGAAAAAGAAAGACACAAAGUUGUUACCCAACGAAUGCUGUUCUUCUUCUUUGGUUCACGAUAACAUUUUUGUCUAAAGGAUGAGCGUCAGGGUGCCGUUCAAAAUAGAUGUUCGUUCUACCGUGGCCCGUCAGUGGCAGCUAGCCGACCGCAGAUUCGACGGUCUCGCCACGCUGUGUUUUCUCUUUCUUCGAUGCCCAUCAUUAUGCCCGGUCACACUCCAGAAGUUCGAGAAACAGCCUGCUGAUUGCGAAUAUGGUCCCCCAAUCAAAACGGAUGCGGUGGGAGCAUCAUCGUUUUUCCCCUCAACGCAGAGUCGAACGACUCCCGAGACUUCCUUGGAGAACUGGAUUUCACGCUACCACUGUCUGCGAUUCGGUUGGUGGAAUAUAUUCAGAGAACAAGGGAAUGUGCCUUAAUAAUUCGAAAAACCGCA
rnacentral:lncRNA from 1 species